UACGGAGGAUCCGAGCGUUAUUCGGAUUUAUUGGGUUUAAAGGGUGCGCAGGCGGGAGAUUAAGUCGGCGGUGAAAUUUUGCAGCUCAACUGUAAAAGUGCCUUCGAAACUGGUUUCCUUGAGUGUGGAUGAAGUAGGCGGAAUUUGUGGUGUAGCGGUGAAAUGCAUAGAUAUCACGAGGAACUCCGAUUGCGCAGGCAGCUUACUAAACUACUACUGACGCUCAGGCACGAAGGCGUGGGGAUCAAACAGGAUUAGAUACCCGGGUAGU
rnacentral:rRNA from 1 species